GAAAACCAAGUUUCCGAGAAGCCUGUGAAUGUAAUGUGAAUAAAAUUUAUUCAUCAUAACCUAUUUUCCCUGGGAAAAAGACUCCAAAACUUAUGAGAAAUUUGAUGUCUCAAAGUACUGCAGAAGAUCAUGCUUUAGCAAAAUAAAAGUUGAAAGUUGAAACAUUCCCCUUUCUAGCGUCAAGCAGGUAACUUAAAACUUUGCCUUUUAAACAUGUGCAGAAGAAAAUGUUACAAGGUAUCUAACAUUUCUGUGUAUCAACUCAAAAAACAUUUUUUUACUGGCUUCUACACCUCUGAUGCAAGACACCAAACAGUGAUGUUAAAAGUAUUUCCUCAUCAUUGAAAUUGGAUCCUUUAAGCCUUUUUAUUUUUGCACGAUAAUUCCCAUCAAUAAAAGAAAAAAAGUUCUCAACACAUGCUUUUUCAAUAAUUGAAGGUUAUGGUGCAAUAUUUUAUAUUUGUAACAAUCAAUUCGAUCUUUAAUAAUUGUCUACACAAGCAUACACAUCAUUUAUGGAGAGUGUUAGGGUUAUGUGCAUUGCAAGUUUAGCUCUCCUAGAAGGAAUGGAGGGGAGGUUCAAUUGAAAGGAGUUUUUAGUGUCAAAAUGCAACCGAUUGAACUAUUUAAGAGAAUGAAGUAAUAAAUGAGAAUGUAACUCGUAGGAUCCAAACAAGAUGGAUGAAAUGAAGGAGGGUAACGGGUAUGUUAUGCGACCAUAAAAUCUCUGACCAAGUGAAAAGUAAGUUCUAUAAAACUGUGAUUAAGCUAGCUAUAUUAUAUGGGAGUGAAUAUUGGGCAUUUAAAAUAUUACAUAUUCACAAGAUGAGUGUGACAGAGAAACAGAUGUUAAGAUGGGUGUCUAGUAUUGUAAAUUCAGGUAUUUUCAUUAAUUCAAAGGU
rnacentral:misc_RNA from 1 species